GGAGAUUCCUAACCACUGCGCCACCAGGGAAGCCCUAUGUUUGUUUUUAUUCAUCCUAUUCUGGACAUCCAUUAGUCCAUUUUUAAUACAUUUCAAAUAAAUUGCAGACAUCAGUGCACUAAAUAUUUAUUUCAGCAUGCCUGUUCACUAGAUUUCAAGGUUUUGCUGCUUUUAGUGUAAAAUUUACAAAGAAAUACACAAAUCUCAGGUGUACAUUUGUGAGUUUUAACAAAUGCUUAGCCACCUGGGUAACUCCAGCCCCUAUGAAGAUAUGGAACAUUGCCAUCACUCCAGAAACUUCCCUCAUGCAUCUUCCCAAGCAAACCCCCCUCCCCAUGGCUCCAGUGGCAGUCACUUUUGUGAUAUUUUAAAAACCACUCUUAGCUUAACUAAAGGUAAAAGUUUCACAUGUGCCAAGGUCAGCUCUAGAUUGCCUCACUGAGCCAUGUAACUCCUGUUCCAGCCAUGCCAGAGUGCUACCAAACCCAGCACCCUCACACACCUCACAAGUGUCAUUCCAUGACCUUGGUGUUUUUUACUCUGUCUUGUUUCAAUUUAGCUCCAGGACUGCCCUUACUAAUAUCUAUUUUUUUUCCCCCUCAAGAUUUACAUCUGACAUCCUAGAUUCUUGGGGUAGAAACUGCUAGAAUGAAGACCAGCUGAGCAGGAGGACUUGCAGUCCCACGGGUGUGGCUGGAAGGAGUUGGCUACCUGGAACAUACCAUCUGCCCCAAGCAGCUCUGAGUCAGGAGUUGGAAGGGGAACCUCUGGCAGGACAUGAUACGAAGUCCUCUGGGAUGGAGUGCCAGGCAUGCAAGAGGCACCUUGGAACUUCAGUGUUUGCAGAUUGGUGUCAGAGUUCACCACAGUUCCAGAGGAGGUUGAUCUGACCAUCAGCAGGGCUACUUAGAGGCCUGGUCCUUCUUCACAGCAAGUGGGCUUGGGCCCAACUCUGAAUCCAGCCAUGCAAACACUGCCCGUGAAACCCUAGCAGGGCUACCAAGAAAAUACUACUGAGACAUCAAGACACUGUGAAUGGAGAAUGUUUGGGAGCCUCUGGAUUAAACUGUCCUUGCUUUUGUCUGUAUGUGGCUAAGAGUUCUCUUGUGGGUCAUUGCUGCCAUUUUAAAAUUUACUUCUGGGGCUUCCCUGGUGGCGCAGUGGUUGAGAAUCUGCCUGCC